ACCGGCGCGCGGUAAUUACACGUAUGCAACCUGCCCNGUCAGGGGGACAACCCGCCGAAAGGCGGGCUAAACCCGCGUACAUGCCACCGGGGCAUCCCGGAGCAGGAAAGGCUUCGGCCGGACAGGGAUGGGCAUGCGGCGCAUUAGGCAGUAGGCGGGGUAACGGCCCACCUAACCGACGAUGCGUAGGGGUUCUGAGAGGAAGGUCCCCCACACUGGUACUGAGACACGGACCAGACUCCUACGGGAGGCAGCAGUGAGGAAUAUUGGUCAAUGGUCGGGAGACUGAACCAGCCAAGCCGCGUGAGGGAUGAAGGUACAGAGUAUCGUAAACCUCUUUUGUCAGGGAACAAAGGCGGGGACGUGUCCCCGGAUGAGUGUACCUGAAGAAAAAGCAUCGGCUAACUCCGUGCCAGCAGCCGCGGUAAUACGGAGGAUGCGAGCGUUAUCCGGAUUUAUUGGGUUUAAAGGGUGCGCAGGCGGUCUGUUAAGUCAGCGGUCAAAGCCCGGGGCUCAACCCCGGCCCGCCGUUGAAACUGGCAGUCUCGAGUUGGAGAGAAGUAUGCGGAAUGCGCGGUGUAGCGGUGAAAUGCAUAGAUAUCGCGCAGAACUCCGAUUGCGAAGGCAGCAUGCCGGCUCCACACUGACGCUGAGGCACGAAAGCGUGGGUAUCGAACAGGAUUAGAUACCCUGGUA
rnacentral:rRNA from 1 species